GUGGGGAAUAUUGGGCAAUGGGGGAAACCCUGACCCAGCGACGCCGCGUGAGGGAAGAAGGCCUUAGGGUCGUAAACCUCUGUUGUGUGGGAAGAAGAGCGUGACGGUACCACACGAGGAAGUCCCGGCUAACUACGUGCCAGCAGCCGCGGUAAUACGUAGGGGACGAGCGUUGUCCGGAUUUACUGGGCGUAAAGGGCGCGUAGGCGGUCAUUUAAGUCAGCUGUGAAAUGGUGCGGCUUAACCGCAUCAUGCGGUUGAAACUGGAUGACUGGAGUGCUGGAGAGGCAAGUGGAAUUCCCAGUGUAGCGGUGAAAUGCGUAGAUAUUGGGAAGAACACCGGUGGCGAAGGCGACUUGCUGGCCAGCAACUGACGCUGAGGCGCGAAAGCCAGGGGAGCAAACGGGAUUAGAUACCCUUGUAGUCC
rnacentral:rRNA from 1 species